AUUCUGCCUUGUCCCAUAGAUUUAGAAAGAGGCUGACACAUCUGGUAACUAGUUUACGGUCAUCUGCCUCUAAGCGACAUUUAGGGUAAGCGACAUUUUUCAGAAACCAAGGCCCUCCCUCUCGUCUCACUAGUGGGAAGGGUGGAAAGAACAGGACAGAAAGCUCUUCCUCUUGUGUGAGGCAGUUGCUGUGGAAGCCCCAUAGGCAGGAGGCCCCCGGGCAGCACAUCCUGUCUGCUUGUGUCUGCUGCAGAGUUCUGUCCUUGCAUUGGUGCGCCUCAGGCCAGGCUGCACUGCUGGGACCUGGGCCAUGUCUCCCCACCCCACCGCCCUCCUGGGCCUAGCAAGAAGGAUUACAUGGAGACAGUGAUGUCGAGGAGGGUUGGCUUGGUCGUUAUGAAAUGCUGAAUGCCCCCCAGCUCCAUCGAGCCCCCUUUUGACAGCAGCCCCGUAAGGAGACUGGGCACUGGGCAUUUUUCUCACUGGGGCUUCUCUUCCAGUGCUCUGCCUGGCCCAGACCAUCCACACGCAGGAGGAAGAUCUGCCCAGACCCUCCAUCUCGGCUGAGCCAGGCACCGUGAUCCCCCUGGGGAGCCAUGUGACUUUCGUGUGCCGGGGCCCGGUUGGGGUUCAAACAUUCCGCCUGGAGAGGGACAGUAGAUCCACAUACAAUGAUACUGAAGAUGUGUCUCAAGCUAGUCCAUCUGAGUCAGAGGCCAGAUUCCGCAUUGACUCAGUAAGAGAAGGAAAUGCCGGGCUUUAUCGCUGCAUCUAUUAUAAGCCCCCUAAAUGGUCUGAGCAGAGUGACUACCUGGAGCUGCUGGUGAAAGGUUCCUGGAGCCCUGGUCUCCUCUGGACGCCACGGAUGGC
rnacentral:lncRNA from 1 species